UUCGGGGGUAAACGGACAGAGCCCGUGAAUCCGGGCGGCAGAAUUCAGAGACGAUGGCGGCAACGUUGUCGGUUCGAUAUUUCUGUCGCCGCGGACGUCGCGACCCGUUUGGUGUCGGUCUCAGGAGACGCGUUUCACGUUCGUCGACGCGUGUCUGCCUCGGUAGGCGCGCGUUGCGAGUACGCGUUCGUGUUCCGGCCGACUCGCCAGACGGUAGUAAUGGUGGCCGCGGCGGUCGUUCGCUUCGCGGCGAUCAGCGCCGUCCGCGGUGCCGGUUUGCGACGAAUCUUCGGGCCUCUUUCCGACCCGUCUUGAAACACGGACCAA
rnacentral:rRNA from 1 species